CACUGGUCGAGUGAUCCUGCGCCGAAGAUUACCGGGGCUAAAACUUACUACCGAAGCUACGAUAUCAUUUAUGAUAGGUAGGGGAGCUUCCUAUGCAGGCUGAAGCAUGACCGUAAGGACGUGUGGACAGUAUAGGAGUGAGAAUGUUGGCAUGAGUAGCGAGACGUGGGUGAGAAUCCCACGGGCCGUAAACCCAAGGUUUCCAGGGGAAGGUUCGUCCGCCCUGGGUUAGUCGGGACCUAAGCCGAGGCCGAAAGGCGUAGGUGAUGGACAACAGGUUGAGAUUCCUGUACCACCAAUAAUCGUUUGAGAGAUGGAAUGACACAGUAGGAUAAGCUAACCACACUGUUGGUUAUGUGUGGCUAAGUACUGAGGCAGUCAAGGUAGGCAAAUCCGCCUUGAUAAUGCUGGGGUACGAUGGGGAGCGAAAUUAAGUAGCGAAGUAGCUGAUUUCACACUGUCGAGAAAAGUUUCUAUCGAGAUUAAAGGUGCCCGUACCGCAAACCGACACAGGUGGGUGAGGAGAGUAUCCUAAAGGCCAGCGAGAG
rnacentral:rRNA from 1 species